AGCUUUUCAGUAGUUUACUACAGAAAAUGACUGAGCGGCGAACGGGUGAGUAACGCGUGAGCAAUCUACCUUAGUUACAGGGAUAGCCCGAGGAAACUCGGAUUAAUACCUGAUAUUCUUUAUUUCUCGCAUGAGAAUAAAAGGAAAGGUCAGCCGAACUAAGAUGAGCUCGCGUUCUAUCAGCUAGUUGGUGAGGUAAAAGCUUACCAAGGCUACGACGGAUAGCUGGUCUGAGAGGACGAUCAGCCACACUGGGACUGAGACACGGCCCAGACUCCUACGGGAGGCUGCAGCAGGGAAUAUUGUGCAAUGAACGAAAGUUUGACACAGCGACACCGCGUGUGGGAUGACGGAUCUAGGUUUGUAAACCACUUUCAGGAGGGAAGAAAAUGACGGUACCUCCACAAGAAGCCCCGGCCAACUACGUGCCAGCAGCCGCGGUAAUACGUAGGGGGCGAGCGUUGUCCGGAUUUAUUGGGCGUAAAGAGCUCGUAGGCGGUUCAACAAGUCGGUCGUGAAAGUUCAGGGCUCAACCCUGAAAUGUCGAUCGAUACUGUUGUGACUAGGAUACGGUAGAGGUGAGUGGAAUUCCGAGUGUAGCGGUGAAAUGCGUAGAUAUUCGGAGGAACACCAAUUGCGAAGGCAGCUCACUGGGCCGCUAUCGACGCUGAGGAGCGAAAGCUAGGGGAGCAAACAGGAUUAGAUACCCUGGUAGUCCUAGCUGUAAACGAUGGAUACUAGACGUAGGAACUGGAUUGACGGUUUCUGUGUCGCAGCUAACGCGUUAAGUAUCCCGCCUGGGGAGUA
rnacentral:rRNA from 1 species